rnacentral:rRNA from 1 species
UAUGCCCAUAUCAUGUUGAAACACCAGUUCUCAUAUGAUCACCAAAGUUAAGCAACAUCAAACCUGGUCAGUACUUAGAUGGGUUACCACUUGGGAAUAUCAGGUGCUGUAAG